GAGAAUCGCUGGUUGUUGACGUCAUCGCAUGGCGACAGCAUCUCAUCAGCUGGGCAGACUUCUUCAGAAUCGUGCUGUUUAUAUUGCAUUCGCCUCAUAAAAAGUGUCGUAUCCAACGACGGAAAGCAUAAAUCGACCAUCCGCGGUGUGUGAAACCACGGUCCCGAAGGUCAAUAGAGAAUAAACAUGCAGCCAGUGGUCCAUAGAUGAAGCUCGUCCUCAUCCUCACAUGUCGCUGAUGGUCGUGUGUUUACAUGUGUUGUCGUCGACAUGACUAAACUCCACGAGGUCAAGUUUCCAGCCGAGUGCAAAUCUCUCCCCGAUGGCUUCUGGUCCGCCGUGGACGUGUGGAUCAAGAAGCCCCACGUAGUAAACAAACGUCUGUGCGGAGCCACGGAGACCCCGUCCGAGGAGGUGGGCACUGAGAACCUGGGGGUGCUGCUGGACCCCAAGUCGACAGACUCCCAUGACGUGCUGUCCUUCUUGACCAGGGGGCAAUCCACCGCACUGACGCACGACCAGGAGAACACCUGGACGUUCAGUGUGCGGACGUUUAUCCCGAAAGUAAACUGCUAUGGAUCCACUUCACAUAAAGAGUUUGUGCUGAAAGACUUUGAUAGACUUCAGGUGACGUUCGUUCCCUUCGAAGAGGAUGCGUCAGGGGAAGUGUGUCAGAAGAUUGGCAACGUUUAUCAGAUCAGUCUGGUCCAAAGGGACAACGAAGAAUGGUUCCUGGAGCUGCGGGUGCUGGCGGCGGCGGACUGGGCCUGCGACGGGGUGGCCUACCCCAGGCUGGUGUGGCUGUGCUCCACCCUGCUCCCGCGGCUCCUCCGCUGGGCGGCGGAGCCCGCGGCCAGCCAGUUCAAGAGCACGCUGUCCCUGCUGCCCGUGGAGAAGUACGGCUGCGUGUACCAGCAGCUCAAGGAGAAGUACCGCGCCAUGGUCAAGGUCUGGCCUGAAGUGACGGAUCCAGAGAAGUUUGUCUACGAGGAUGUUGCUAUCGCUACGUAUCUGUUGGUUCUCUGGGGCGAGGAGCGGGCGGAGAGAGGCGUGACGGAGAAGCAGUCGUUUGUGGACCUGGGCUGUGGCAACGGCCUGCUGGUGCACAUACUGUCCAACGAAGGGCACCCGGGGAAGGGCAUCGACGUGCGCAGGAGAAAGAUCUGGGACAUGUACGGGCCUCAGACCUGCCUAGAGGAAAAGGCAAUCACUCCCGGAGAGGGUUUCUUAUUCCCGGCCACUGAUUGGCUGAUUGGGAACCACUCAGACGAGCUGACGCCCUGGAUCCCGGUGAUGGCAGCCAGGUCGUCGUUCGCGUGCCGCUACUUCGUGCUGCCCUGCUGCUUCUUCGACUUCUACGGAAAGUUCCAGAGGCGGCGGUGCGGGACGUCCCAGUACAAGGAGUACAUCGACUACAUCGCCGAGGUCAGCCGGGCCAGCGGCUUCCACACGGACGAGGACUGCCUGCGGAUCCCCUCCACCAAGCGGGUGUGCCUGGUGGGGAAGUCCCGGAGCUACGCCCCGUGUGACGCGGAGCAGGCGGAGGAGCGCAGGGCCAGCUACAUCCAGAGCCGUCGCUCCAGCUCCGGAUCCGGAUCCGGUUCGGUCGUCCCGCCCCGCCCGCCGAGCGUCGCGGACGGAGACGGCGGUGACCAUGACGACGGGGGCGGCGGCGGCGGCGGCGAGGGCCCGGGUGAUGGCGAACACGGCGGCGGCGGCGGCGGCGGCGGCGGCUACCAUGACAACGGCGACCCGGAGCCGGCCGGGCCCCCCGGGAACGACUGGGGAGCCGGGUUCCAGCCGCGGGAGAGGGUGGAGAAGGUGCGGAACUGCGCGGCGCUGCCCCGGGACUUUGUGGACGGCGUGGUGCUGCGCGUGGCCAAGGCUCUGCUGGGAUUGGCCGAGGACGACGGCGGCCCGCCCACUCCCACGCCCGCCGCCGCCGCCGACGUCGUCUGGAACCCCGGAGAGAGCAUGUCCGUGCGGGAGGUGGCUGAGCUGCUGGACCAUGGUACCCUGCUGAGGCUGAAGAGCGAGUGUGGGGGUCUCCAGACCCUCCUGAAGAACAACCACCAGGUCUUCAGAGUGGAAGGUGGGCGGGUCCACAUCCGGGACUGGCGGGCGGGGUCCGAGGAGCGGGGUCGGGCUGAGUCUAAGCGCGGCCGGCCGGUUGCCAGCGGCGCUCUCAAGACGCGCUCCUGCUGGUUCCACUCCCAACACCCCCAGGGCUGCCCCCUAGAGGCCGCUCAGUGCUGCUUCGCCCACGGGCCCCAGGACCUGCGGCCCUCCACCAAACCACUGAAGAAGAUGAAGUGGUCGGCGGUGUGAUUUGCAGAUGUUUUUAAUUUUUUUAGGAUUAGUUUCAAAAGACUUGUGAUUUCUUUUUUAAUUUUGGUUGUAUUUGAUGCGUUUUUAUUUUGGUGCGUCGGAGUGUGUGCGGAUUGGUCCGGAACCUUCGAAGGAACACGUCCAGCGAGGAGACCCUGACUUCGUUAUCGUCGCACACCUGAAUCAUCUGCCUUCUUCCCUCGUCUACCGGGUAAACAGACCUCUUCUCCUGCCAGCGGAAACCUCUAGACCGUCUCCAUGGUUACACCUGAAACCGCAAGAACGCUGGGAGAUUUCCCCACUCGGAAGGCCGGUGUAGCACGAGGCAGCGUUCACCUGCGAAGGGGCGGGGCUUCAGACGGACCAGAACAGAACAGAAUGAACAGAGUAAACGUCCUGACUAUUAAUAAUUUGCCGGCCGCUAGCGCACUUCGGUGUACGGUUUCUCCCCCCGGUUCUGACGGGUUGACGAUAAUCCAUACGUGCGUUGGGAGGGGACCUGCUCACGUAAGGGACAUGAUGGCCGUCUGGAUCACCCGUCCCCUGGGGAACCACACACACAGCAGCGUCCCCAUACGGUGAUGAAGCCAUGCGAGCUACGUUAACUCACACUGACCGACUGGUCGAUGCUAAAAAGUGUGUGUGUGUGUGUGUGUGUGUGUGUGUGUGUGUGUUAUUUGUGGUACAGGACACACGAUACGACGUUCACCCACACACACACUCCUCCAUCAUCAAUCAGUGGGUUGUAAUGAGGCUGUGUGAUGUCAUCUUUCUCCAGCCCCGCCCCCCUCGCCAAGCCAACGAACACGUGAAGGCUCCGUUACCUUUCCAGCAAGAUUAACAAAUUCAUGGAAGACAAAAGAAUCGGCUGUCCUUAACGAUUUCAGGUUUGAUCAGUCUCUCGCCUCACGUUUGGUCGCCAGGCAACGGGGAGUCACCUCAACCACCUACGCACAGUAGCGCCAAUCGUGACCUUUGACCUCUGAUCCCCCCCGCUUCCCGCCGACCGCCAUACACUCCCAUCCAAUAAUCCGACACCUCGACACUCAGCUAGGAGGAGCCGGCAGGGGCGGUUCUAGACCAAUUUUCAUGGGGGGGCCAGUUGUUUUGUUGGAGGGGCACAUUGAACCCGGGACGCUAAAUAUUUAGUUUAGUACUAAGUAACGGCAGUCAAAAACACAAUAUACAAUAAUUGGAUUUUUUCCCGCUGCAGCAUUUGUUUCAGUAGCAUAGUAUUAAGUGUCUCCUUCAGUUAUAGCAAUUGUCGAUAUACAUUUGGAAUGUUUCAUUGGUUACAAAAAUUGUCAUUAUUACAACAUUUUGGGUUUCCUUCACUGACAUCAAACCACUCAGUAUGAAACAUGACCAACAGCAAUAAA